GCCGGGCGUGGUGGCGCAUGCCUGUAAUCCCAGCUACUCGGGAGGCUGAGGCAGGAGAAUCGCUUGAACCCGGGGGUGGGAGGUGGGGGCGGAGGUUGCAGUGAGCCGAGAUCACGCCAUUGCCUUCCAGCCUGGGCAACAAGAGCGAAACUCUGUCUCAA
rfam:Pan troglodytes isolate Yerkes chimp pedigree #C0471 (Clint) chromosome 12, whole genome shotgun sequence.